UUAUUUAUUUCUUUAUUUUAUUUUACUGUGUUUGGUUUGGUAUAUCUGUAUAUCCCCGGGUGCCUCCCAGGGCCGUGCUGCUCUGGUGGCUGCGCUGAGACGCCCCGAGCACGCUCGAGGGCCUUGCGGGGCUCAACGUUUCGCUCGUUCGCAGGGCAAGGAUGAGUCUGUUCGGAUCGACGUCGGGGUUCGGUACCGGCGGUACCAGCAUGUUCGGCAGCACGACAGCAGAUAACCACAACCCGAUGAAGGAUAUUGAAGUAACAUCUCCACCUGAUGACAGCAUAUCUUGUUUAGCAUUUAGUCCACCGACGCUGCCGGGUAACUUCCUCAUUGCAGGAUCGUGGGCAAAUGAUGUUCGCUGCUGGGAAGUUCAGGAUAAUGGACAGACAAUUCCAAAGGCUCAGCAGAUGCACACAGGGCCUGUACUAGAUGCCUGCUGGAGUGAUGAUGGGAGUAAAGUAUUUACUGCUUCCUGUGAUAAAACUGCCAAAAUGUGGGAUCUCAACAGUAAUCAGGCAAUUCAGAUUGCACAACAUGAUGCUCCUGUGAAGACCAUCCAUUGGAUUAAAGCACCAAAUUACAGCUGUGUGAUGACAGGAAGCUGGGAUAAAACUUUGAAGUUCUGGGAUACCCGUUCACCAACACCUAUGAUGACACUGCAGCUCCCUGAAAGAUGUUACUGUGCAGAUGUGGUUCAUCCUAUGGCAGCUGUGGCCACUGCAGAAAGGGGUUUGAUAGUUUAUCAGUUAGAAAACCAACCUUCUGAAUUUAGAAGAAUAGAAUCUCCCCUGAAACACCAGCAUCGCUGUGUUGCUAUUUUCAAAGACAAAGUGAACAAACCAACUGGAUUUGCCCUUGGAAGCAUUGAAGGCCGAGUAGCUAUUCAUUAUAUCAACCCCCCUAACCCCGCAAAAGAUAAUUUCACUUUUAAAUGCCAUCGCUCCAAUGGAACAAACACAUCAGCACCUCAGGACAUCUAUGCUGUUAAUGGGAUUGCAUUCCACCCUGUCCAUGGUACUCUGGCCACAGUAGGGUCUGAUGGGAGGUUCAGCUUUUGGGAUAAAGAUGCACGGACAAAGCUAAAAACCUCAGAGCAGCUGGACCAGCCAAUAUCUGCUUGUUGUUUCAACCACAAUGGCAAUAUAUUUGCUUAUGCUUCCAGCUAUGAUUGGUCAAAGGGUCAUGAAUUCUAUAAUCCACAGAAGAAAAACUACAUUUUCCUGCGAAAUGCAGCAGAAGAGCUGAAGCCCAGGAAUAAGAAGUACUUCUUGGCCUUUCAGUGUAAUUCACAGACAUUUGCUGAAAGUCAGCUCCUUUUCCUCCAGCUGCUUAAGCUGAGAAUCCAACGCAUUUUCCAACUUCUGUUCCACUAUGAAUGAUUCCUGUGGGUUUGCCUCAAAGAAUUGGGAGAACUGCUGUGAAAGGCCUUUUGUUUUGAGAUGAAUCAAGUUCAUUGCUAUUUCAGCAGCCAAACACCUGACAUGGCAAAUAAUCUUUGGCAUAAAGAGCAGCCCAGUUAAACCCCUCAAAAUGGGAACAUUUUACCACAUUUUCAGGUUGUUGAUUUGCUGGACCAGACAAGGAGAGGGGUAAUGUUCAGUUCCUGGGAACACUGUGAAAUAAAACUCAAGUAACGGAUUUUCUUCAACCCUUCCCAAGUGUUGAGGACAUCGUGUUGCUGCCUGUUGAGCUGUUGAUGGCUUUUCCCCAGCAGGAAUCACUGCUCCAGCAGACUGGAUGUGGAUGUUGAACUGUCAGGAGCCAAUGGCAUUGCCCAAGUGAGUUUUGACCCUGCCAGUCAGUGAUUGUGCUGCCCUGCUGUGGCACCAUCAUAAAUGAUUCUCUUUGUAAAAGGCCUAUUUUGGACUUUUUGAGAUCAUGCAGAAGCUGGAAUCAUCCUGCCCAGAUUUCAGUGCAGGUGCUUCAUCCUUCCCCUGACACACAUGGCUGGCACAAGGGCCUGUGGAAGGAAAAGUGCCAAGCUGUGCUCUGAGAAACUCCUGGGAAACAGUGAUGGUGGCACAAAGAGCACAGCACAAGAUUCCUGAAUAUUAGACAUUCUUCCUGCUGGCAGUUGCAGAGGUUACUGGAACAUUAAGCCUGAUCACUCUAGAUGCCCACUAGAGCUGGUGGUCUGCUUGUGUGUAACCAGUGUAGCCAGCAAAAGGAAACAGAGUUCACUCAGCAUGCCCAGCUCUGGAAUACUCAGAAGAGGAAAUAGUCCUAUUGAAGGAGUCCUACAGAAACCAAAGCCAAAAAGCAGCCCUGACUGGGAACCUCCUCUGCUCAACUAUUUUGUUACAAGUGGCCCAAAGAAGAAUGAUUUUCAUUUUUCAAUUCUUGUUGCAGCAGCAGCUCUGGGUUAAGCAAUUGUUAUGGUGUGCUCAAGGCAUCAAACCAAAAAAUCUGAGAGAGAGGGCCCAGAUGCAGAAUUCCCUGCGAUAACCUAAACCAAAUGCCACUGAAUGCAGCUCCCUCAAGAUCUCCCUGUUCACAGCCUCGCUGGUGGCCAGCAUCCAGACUGAGCAUUAGUAAAACCAACAAACCAAACAGUUCCCACAGUAAGUCCCUUGCUCUCCAGUUAACUUAUUUAACUGUGGAGCUUCUAAGGGGGAUGUUUCAUCUGCUGUUGUUGCAAUAAGCGGGUAUCCAUGGCAAAACCCAAGGGCACUGCCCUACAGCAAUGAAGUCUUGGCUAAGCAGCAGCAGGAACUGGAAAAGGUCAGAGCUCCAUUGUAGCCCUGCUCCAUUUUAAAAAUAAAGCUCAUCAGUUUGUUAAGAAAUGAGGCAGGUUCUUCAAUGGCUUGCAGAUCAGACCUGGGGUGUCUCAAAUCAAUUUUCCCAAAGACACUGGGGGAAGAAAGGAAAAUGCUCAAAGUCUACAAGGAGAGCACCACAGAGCUUCAGUGCCAAGGGAGGGACAAGAACAGAAGGGACUUUGGUGUUUUGCAGAGGCCAAGGAACAAGGAACAUUUUCCCUGCUGCUCUUUCCCCACCUCUGUCCUGUUCUUGCUCCCAAAGGUACAACUUCCUGCUAUAAUCUGUUUUUCAUCCUUUAGGCAGAGACCAUUUCUAUAUGGUUCUGUACCUGGAUAGUCUUACAGUGCCACCUUCUCUAGGAUUGUCAGUGGAAUCCAGCACAUUGGUUUGGUGAUCUGCAGCUGUUCCAUUCCAUCUCUUGGAUAACACUGCUGAAGUCCACCAGAAGGAGCCUUUGUGUAUCAAUUUUGCAUAAGCCUCAAGGAAUGUAUUAACAUGUAAGUAAAAACCCAGUGACUCCUCUUAACUGUGUUGAAUUAUCAUAAAAUUAAUCUUCCCAAUCUGAAUGAGAAUAGGAUGCUCUGGAUUUGCAAUACAAAUCCUGUACAUUAAAGAUAGGGAUGGUUGUACACCCACUGGAAAAGAUGACUUUUCUCCCAGCCUCCUCCGUGUAGUUUUAUUUCUUAAUAACAACAAAGGACUAAAUGCACCCCUACAAUGGCUUAUAUCAGGUCUGUGUUCUCCUUCUUGCUUGCAGUCUGCUCUUAGAUUUGUGCUAAGCAAUGUUCUGGCUUCCCCAAGGCAGCUUCAUACUUUGAGAUGUGCUUGCCUUUACAGGAUAAAGAAAGUUGAAAUACAUUCUUCUCUUCUCAGGUACUCCUAUUGUUGCAGUAAAAGCAUGGGGAGGUGUCAGCAAACUGGCUCUGCCAAGCUCCUGCAGCUUUGAUCUGAUGGCUGGAUUUUAUCUGUAGGUGUUUUGAGGAGGAUGAGUGCUUUCUGCAAGAACGAGGCGGAAAAAAUAAAAGCAAACUAAUUAACUUCCAUAAAGUUAUCCUUACUCACUUUCUCUUCCCUUUCCUGCUGUGUUUGUGGUAACAGCUCAUUAGAGCCUGUGUUUGCAAUAGCUGCACCAUGAGACAGGAGAUUUCAUUUCCCCUCCUGCUUUCCAGGAUGUGGCAGAACCGAGGCCGCCUCCCCCGGCCACGCCAGCGCUACCGGGGGGUUUGUGCUGCUCACCGAGCGCAGGUUUAGCCUUAACUCCUUUCUUGUUCUGUUCUGCCUGUAAGAAACUCCUGUUCCUGCCUCGAGGGAAGAAGAGGAGCUGGGAUUUAUGUGGGGCUCAUGUUUGAAGAACAAAAACGCCUGUGCUGUUUUUCCCCCCAGACAAGCAUAAGCAUGGAGAGCAGAGCUGCUGCUGGUCUCUCUGGAGAACUCUGCCAGCCCUGCCUGCCCUGCAGAGGAGCCGGAGUCUGCUUGGAUGAUUUGAAUCUUUGCCAUCAUUUGGAGCAGAAUGAAGCUCUGUAAAAGGACGGUGACUGGAUGCCAACUGGGUUGUCAUUAGCUCGGGCAGCCCAGGAAGCAGCUGAUGUGCAGUUUGUGGUGGAAGUCAUGCAGACAGAAGGGGUGACUCGGGGGUGGAGAGGCCCUAGCCCCUGGCUGCAGUCCAACCCCAAAGGUGUGUUCCAGGCUUGUUUGGAUGGACCAGCCACAGCUGGUGGCUUCACAAGACACAAAGGCUCCAUGGACCAUCCAUUUGCUGUCAAUUUUUCAGUGAUGUUGGGUGCUGCUGGCCCAGCUCCAUCCUUCUUCCACAGUAAUCAAAGGAAAUGCACCCUCGUCUUGAAGUCUGGUGGUUCAGGACUGAAAAGCUUAAUGGCUUUCCUUGGCUUUUUUUUUUUUUCCCUUUCUCCUUUAUGAAGCAUAGGGUGUUUAGAACUAUGGAAGUGGUGCAAGAAAAAUAUUAAUGAAUAACUAUGGAGUGCAGACAUUAAUGCAUUCCUUUCUCUUGAAAUAACUGGCUUUUCUCUGUGGGGUCUGUAACAAAAAAAAAAAGUGUCUGUGGAGUCUGAACCUGCUGUAUAGAAGCCAAAGUAGAUGAUGAUUUAGAACUUCACUGGCUUUUUUUUUUUUUUUUUUUCUAAAAUGUUAUCUCUGCAUUUAUCAUGUUGCAAAAAAUCUCUUUUUCUGAGAAAUGAUAAACCUAAGGCACAGGGGCAGUUCUUGAGAUUCUGGGUGAUGGAAAGUAUGAACGAAUAAUGAUUUUUGGGAUCCUUUCCCACACCCCAAACUCCAAGUGAUGCGUGAGAGGAGCAAUUAAAGCAUUACAAGCACCCCACCACACUGGAGUUCCCCAGUGGUGGGUUCUGAAGUA